rnacentral:tRNA from 1 species
UGGGGUAUAGCUCCAUGGUAGAGCGCAUGCCUAUGAAGCGUGAGGUCCUGGGUUUGAUCCCCAGAACCACAA